UGAAUACGAGAUGCUACGGCAUUGAAGCAGUCUAUGUCAGACUUCCAAGAAAAGCUCGCAAUGUCAUAAACAAUAAAUGCCUGUACCAUAACCGACACAGGUGGGUAGGUAGAGUAUACUAAGGGGCGCGAGAUAACUCUCUCUAAGGAACUCGGCAAAAUAACUCCGUAACUUCGGGAGAAGGAGUGCCUUAUUUUAUAAGGUUGCAAUAACAAGAUCCAAGCAACUGUUUACCAAAAACACAGGUCUCCGCUAAGUCGUAAGACGAUGUAUGGGGGCUGACGCCUGCCCAGUGCCAGAAGGUUAAAGAAGUUGGUUAGUUUCGACGAAGCUGAUGACUGAAGCCCUGGUGAACGGCGGCCGUAACUAUAACGGUCCUAAGGUAGCGAAAUUCCUUGUCGGGUAAGUUCCGACCCGCACGAAAGGCGUAAUGAUUUGGAUACUGUCUCGGAGAGGGGCUCGGUGAAAUAGACUUGUCUGUGAAGAUGCGGACUACCUGCACCUGGACAGAAAGACCCUAUGAAGCUUUACUGUAACUUGAGAUUGAAAUUGGACUUUAUUUGCGCAGUAUAGGUGGGAGACAUUGAUAGUAUUCUUGCGGGAAUAUUGGAGUCAUCAGUGAGAUACCACUCUUGUAUGUUAGAUUUCUAACUUUGUAUCAUUAUCUGGUCAAAGAACAGUUUCAGGCGGGCAGUUUGACUGGGGCGGUCGCCUCCUAAAGGGUAACGGAGGCGCACAAAGGUUUCCUCUGAACGUGUAGAAAUCGUAUCUAGAGUGUAAAGGCAUAAGGAAGCUUGACUGUGAGACCUACAAGUCGAGCAGGGACGAAAGUCGGUCUUAGUGAUCUGACGGUGCUGAGUGGAAAGGCCGUCACUCAACGGAUAAAAGUUACUCUAAGGAUAACAGGCUGAUCUCCCCCAAGAGUUCACAUCGACGGGGAGGUUUGGCACCUCGAUGUCGGCUCAUCGCAUCCUGGGGCGGUAGUACGUCCCAAGGGUUGGGCUGUUCGCCCAUGAAAGCGGUACGCGAGCUGGGUUCAGAACGUCGUGAGACAGUUCGGUCCAUAUCCGGUGUAGGCGUUAGAAUAUUGAGAGGAGCCUUCUUUAGUACGAGAGGACCGAGAAGGACAUACCUCUGGUGUACCAGUUAUCGUGCCAACGGUAAACGCUGGGUAGCUAUGUAUGGAGUGGAUAACCGCUGAAAGCAUCUAAGUGGGAAGCCCACCUCAAGAUAAG
rnacentral:rRNA from 1 species